GGUGUCAAUCACGCUCGUGUACGCGCUGCUCGCACCCGUCAAGCUCAAGAUUGCCGGAGAAAAAACAAUUUCUCGAGUGGCAGCUGCUCAGAAAACAAAGACGGGUAAACGGAAGAAGACCGAUGAAGAAAAACUAGCUAAAAAGAAAGAAUUAGACCGAAGCCCGAAAUAAAACGAGGGUAAAUCUCUGAGCGGCUUCUCAGAGGUGGAGGGAGCUACGGGUCCUGAAAGGAUUCAAAACCGACGCAGAGCUAGCCACAUUUCUGCCUCACAAAUGUUCGGGUGGUGCUUUGGCUGUAAACGUCAACGCCAACCAAACGUCAGGUGACCACACAUCCUAUCGCUGCCCUUUCCAGUUGGCGACUCCGCCUCAGCAGUAUUCAUGGCCGUCAGCAUGGAGGACUCUGCAUGACGCUCUAGACCAGAGUCCAGAGUGAGGAUGACCUCACUGAUCGUCCUGCAGCAUCACUUAUCACGUCUGUCUGAAACAACUCGCGGAGGAUCUGUUGCUGCCAGUCCCAAUGGGGCCCCUGGACCGUUCCAGACCGGGUCCAGAGGAACAGCUGUCAUCGUGCAGUGGCUGACGGGCGUACGGACAGACCUCCACCUGCACCAUCAUGGAGAACGACACCAAAGAAAACACUGACGAGCGAGAGACGCAGAGGAGUUCAGGGAAGUCUUUAUCAGCACAGAUAUCUGCUCUCUUCAAUACAGUCAUACUAAUAGUAAAUGUCUGCUCGACCUCGAAGGAGCUCAUCUGACAAACAGUAUAAUAAGUACAUUUCUGUUGUGCUCUUUAUUGGAAAGAGCCAGUCAAAGGAAAAUCCCAGGAUAGCGGAGUGCUGCACACUCUAGACAUGAGGUUCCACAAACUCGCAUGCAGGACGUGUUCUGAUAAACAACUGACAUCACAAGUGUCAAACUUGUAUAUUUUUUAAUACAAUAUUUUUGUUUGUUCUGUCUUUGUGUUUAUCCAGGCGGCCAGCAGAGGGCUUGUUUCUUUCUUCUGCAGUGGAACAAAGACGUCUGCACUCAUUUCUGGUUCUGCUGCAGUGAUACCGUUACUCAACAUGCAUGUGGGGCCAGUACAACAGCUUUGUGUAGAACUUGUUCAUUACUGCAGGGGAAAUGUACACUUAUCUAAUUCAUACACAUCUGCCAACAAUAUUGAAAAAUUAAGGGUGACUAAAGUCAGUCACAUCAGUACAUUCAGUCUGAGGCGUAAACACAUUUAUUACUACAGAGAUCAGACCUACAAGAAAGCUGAGAACUUGUUAUAACAUGAACCCUCUUACAGAAAAAAGUGCAUUCAAACUUUUUACAAGUUACUUCAAACAUGAGGGUGUCUAACUCUUGAAGAGAAGUGCUGCUUCUCCCACUGCAGGUAGCUACAGACAUGACGCCAGCCAGGGAAAGCAAAGCGUAGCCGCACAUGGUCACCUGCUGCAUCGCCUGCAGCACUUACGAUCGCUUCUCGCUGCCGGUGGACUCAAAGACCGACUGGAAUGUUUGACCCUUGUAGAGGCCAAACUCCAGCAGGUCCCCUCUCACCGACAAAGAGCCCUCCAGCAUCCGACGCUGCCGGCGUCAUCUCCGGGAAGAGCCGAGGGUAUCUUUGUUGGCGGUGAGGGGCGACUGUGCGAGGGGCCCACCUUCCCGCUCUACCUGGUGGGAUGCAGGUCCAGCCGACGUCGUGGCUCAGCAGCCAGUUGAAGGUUUUCCCCGCGUACUUUCCAAACCGGAGCUCAGUCUCACUGAGCACCAGCUGCCAGCACGCGGGGUCUCCUCCGGCCUGAAGGACCCGAGCCUCAACCUCCUCUGACAGUCUCCGGCUUCUUCACCCGGGCUGUCCCUGGCUUCCUGCAGCCUCGAGCAGCAGGCGAAGGCUGGAGGGUGAGCGCUGUGGAUGCUCCCUCAUAAUGGGAUGAUAAUCCAUGUCCUCAGACAAGAGGCGCAUUUAAAUCUGGCAUAAAGCCGUUUUGAUCUACAGAAUAAGGGGAAUGUUUGUAAACCAGGACCUCAGAAUUUAAAUUAAAAUGUCAGUUUAAUGAAGCCUUAUUUCUGUUUUUACGUAGCAGAAAAUCAAACUUCACAAAAAACAGUUGUCAGUUGGACUUUCUGGAAAACACUAGAAUACUUGGCCUGUUUCAAUCUGUACAAACACUCAAACUAGUUUUAAACAUUUUUUUAAUAGGCAGUUUUAACCGUGUACAAACAUUAAAAUAUACUCACUUGUAACGGUAGGUUUAAGACGGUAACGUCUGUGUCUAGCAGAGAAAUAUUGUCUGAAACACGCUGCUGUUAAAUGUCCUGUGGCAACUUUAGCAGAUAAUGUUACAGUCAAACGCAGUUAACCUUGUUUUUGGACGGGAUCAUCAGACACAUUCUGCAUUCCGGCACCCUGGAGUCCAGCACAGAUCUGUUCCUGGACGUUACUCACAAUGACAAACCUCCAGGGGAGACGGACCCAGGAAGACCGGACUGACCUGGACCACACAGACCCGAGGGCAUUAGUUUGGCUGCUGUUGCUUGCUGGUGUAACGAAUCAUUGCAGAGUCUGAGGGAUGGUGAGACCGGCCGGAUUAUUUCCAGGGCCAUCGGUUCGAUGACGAGAUGACCGGGUCGGAGCGGGAGAGGCGGACCCCCUCUGCAUUUUAAUCCAGACAUCUGCAUCGAUGAGCAACUGGUGCCGUUCAGGGGCAGAUGUGUCAGAUACUCCAGAAAGAAUGACGACGACCUCGGCACAAAACACCGACAGCCAGACGUGAAACCUGCAGUCAUCCCAGCGUACAACAAGUGGCGGGAGGUGUCGACGACCUCGACACGGUUGGCAGCACUUCCAGCUGCAGGCGGAGAACCAGCCGUAGUUCUGUUUCAAAACCUCUGUUGGUCGGUUGUGUGGACCCCCGACACCCAAACUGGAAGCCUGGUGAUGGCCAUGAGAGCCACCAGCCGCCGCGGCCUUGGUGUCGGGUGCUCGCGUGGAACAUGCCCGAUCGAUCCGCACUACAGAUAACGUCCCGGACAGAUGCAGCCGCUGAUGGACAGGCGGGACACGUCCGGGUCUACGGGAGAUGAAACAGAUGUUGGAACUUGGAUGUACAUGUCUGAAACCCCGCAGGCUCCACCAAUCAGACGGCAGCGUUCGGGUGGAGGUCGGAGAGCGAGCGGUCGGCGUUCAGUCUCUGGUCAUGUCGCCCUCUCGGCUGCUGCUCUGCUGUCUCGCUGCUCUGCCUGCCGUCUGUCUGAAAGGAGGCGGUCUCCAGUGUUUGGGUUGUAAUGUAGGCGGUGGGCGUGGCCGGGGGCGGGGCUACGUGGAGCUGGGCUGCGGCCAACCAGAAACCAUCAACUGCAGUCGAACAGAGAGAGGAUUCAAACUGCGAUUCUGCAUCACGACGUACAGCAAGUCCCUGGACCUGGUCUUGUCUCGGGGAUGCGCGACGUCUCGUCACUGUCAGCAGACGGAGCUUCCCGGAGUGUCGGUCGCUUGCUGCGAUUGGUCGCUGUGUAAUGUCGGGUGGCGGUGGGCGGGGUCGCUCGCUACCGUGAUCCUCAGCUUCAUCACCGGCGGCUGGUUUCCUCUGCGGGAUCUGGCGGCACGCUGAGAACUGAUCCUGGAUCCGUGCCGGGCCGCAGGCUGGAGGCGGAACAGCUGCAGGUGUUCGUCUUUAUUAUUUCUCUGUGCCGGAUGCACGAGGCUGACGCUGCAGAGAGUUUACAGAAGCAAGAGACUCAGCAUUUAACAGCUCUGACCUUUUCCUUUGGGUCAGUACUCACAUUUCUCCCUGAACACAGAAAUCCCACACGUGCCAUCAUGAAACCCGGCUGGGUUGUGUGCUCGUUUGAUCUGCUUUUGGCGCCGACCCGAGUGCGGCCGCUACGUUCACACCUGCCGGCCGCACCGAGGGGGAAACGACCUUUGGUGCGACUCAACAGAAGUAAGUGAGGCAGCUGGGAAAAAGCCCCCUGAGGCUGUGUUUAAUUUAAUCCUCGCGCGGGUUUUUAUCUCUGGACAACCGAACACUGACAACGCCAAUAAACACAACGAGCAAAUAACUCCAGCUGUAUGAACCCAAAGGAAACAUGCUGCUGUGGUUAAAUAACAAUAAACGGAUCAAACUGAUGCUGAAAUAACAUGAUGCAGAUCUGUUAAACAUGCUUUGUCAGCAGGACAGCAGCUGUUAAACCGUUUGUUUUCUGAAUGGAGUUUGGUUCGAUCAGGGCUACGUUACGCUAACCUGUUCACAGUAAAGUACAACCACAGCUGGAAUAAAGUUACAGACACACGUUUUCUGAACUCACCAGGUAGUUCAGCUUCCUCGCUUUCUUUUCUCCAGCAAUGUCCACUUUUCAGGUUUUUAUAUAAAUAGUCCUGCAGCGCUAACGACAGCAACAGUGGAACCGGAUGUGCACGGAAGCUCCAGUGAAGAUAAAUCAGCGUUUAAAACCCGAAAACUAAAGUAAAAGGCUGAUUUCAUGAAAGCAGUUUAACUCUGAGCUGCUCUCGCGGGUAAACGGCUCAGCUGUCCAGAUUCUGCUCUGCACUUUCCCGUACUUCAGCAGCUCUCCGUCGGCCAGCGGCGUUUCACUCCCCCGCUCUGCCCGGUCUUCUCCACACGGCGCUCUGAAGCUCCGAAACGCUGGAUUCGCUUUCAGUGUGAAGACGCCAUGAACCCCGACGUCCCCCGGGACCUUUUGUCCAUCGGUCUCUCCCUCAUUUCCUGUCCCCUCUCUCUCUCUGAUGGAGUAACAACACCAUUAACGAGGAGAUGGACAGGAUGUGAUUGGUUCAGGUAUAAAGACGCUGUCUGGAUGACAUAAGUUUGUUUUGUUCCUGCUUGUCAUUUCCCCAAUAAACUGAUCAAACUGA